GAUGAACGCUGGCGGCGUGCCUAAUACAUGCAAGUCGAGCGAACAGAUGAGGAGCUUGCUCCUCUGACGUUAGCGGCGGACGGGUGAGUAACACGUGGAUAACCUACCUAUAAGACUGGGAUAGCUUCGGGAAACCGGGGCUAAUACCGGAUAAUAUAUUGAACCGUAUGGUUCAAUAAUGCAAGGCAGUUUUACUGUCACUUAUAGAUGGAUCCGCGCCGCAUUCGCUAUGUGGUAAGGAAACGGCUUAACAAGGCAACGAUGCGUAGCCGACCUGAGGGGGUGAUCGGCCACACUGGAACUGAGACACGGUCCAGACUCCUACGGGAGGCAGCAGUAGGGAAUCUUCCGCAAUGGGCGAAAGCCUGACGUGGCAACGCCGCGUGAGUGAUGAAGGUCUUCGGAUCGUAAAACUCUGUUAUUAGGGAAGAACAAAUGUGUAAGUAACGAUGCACGCCUUGACGGUACCUAAUCAGAAAGCCACGGCUAACUACGUG
rnacentral:rRNA from 1 species